CUUGAUUCUCAAAUGAAGGAAGCCACCAAGGGUGCUUCCAAAGACCCCAGCAUGGCCCUCAGGGCAACCAGUGCCAGCGCUUGGGUGUCUGCCACCCGGAGAGCUCAGAUGCCGCACUCGCUAGCAUCAGUCACGUAAAGCCAUUUUUAGACUUUAAUUUCUCAGCUUUUCCUUGAGCUGCUCUUGGAGGAAGAAACAGCCUGCGAUAUGGGGGAGGAGGGAAGAAAGAGCAAGUGCAAAGGAGAAGCAGAUGAAGUGGUUGGAUGAGAAAUACACCUGACAGUCCAAGGAGCUGGAAUGCACAUCAAACAAAGCAGGCAGAAGCGGGCGUUUCAUCAAGCCAAACCAGCACCGCAAGCCUCCCACUGCCGCCGUGGGGAGUUUCCGAAGACCAGAGAAGCACGGGCCAGUUAGAGGCUGCCAAAUUCAAGACAGCCGGUUCCCUCGGAGGCUGCCAGCCACUCUUCCUGCCAACAAGACCUGGAAACGGCCUUACCACACAGCUCCUGGGUUCCCCUUACUUUUUCCACUGCGAAUGUAGCCUGAUUAGAGCGAGCGUGCAGAAGCACUAGAGGCGUACAUUCAGAAAACAUAUUUUGAACAAACUUUAUCUUUCUGAUCUUCAUUUUCUUGUUGUGAGAACGGGGAGGCAGACUAGAUCAGAGCUUCUCAUCCCUGGGUGCUCACAAAACCAUCCGGGAGCUUUAAAAAUGCAUACUUCUGGGCCCUUUACCGACCAAUUAAACCAGAACCUCUAAGUAUUUUUCAAAAACUCCCUAGAUGUUUCUAAUAGAUGCUGCUAGAUGCUGCCUGUGGUUAUUUCUACAUCAAACAUUUAUUUGUGAUCCUUCAUAUAAAGUGCAAC
rnacentral:lncRNA from 1 species